rnacentral:rRNA from 1 species
AUUGAACGCUGGCGGCAGGCCUAACACAUGCAAGUCGAACGAGUGGCGGACGGGUGAGUAAUGUCUGGGAAACUGCCUGAUGGAGGGGGAUAACUACUGGAAACGGUAGAUAAUACCGCAUACCAUCGGAUGUGCCCAGAUGGGAUUCGCUAGUAGGUGGGGUAACGGCUCACCUAGGCGACGAUCCCUAGCUGGUCUGAGAGGAUGGCCAGCCACCCUGGAACGGAGACGCGGUCCAGACUCCAACGGGACGCGACAGUGGGGUAUAGUGCACUAGGGGCGCAAGCUUGAUGCAGCCAUGCCACGUGUAUGACAAAGGCCUUCGGCUUGUAAUGUACUAUCGGCGGGGAGGCGUUACCCGCAGAAGAAGCACCGGCUAACUCCGUGCCAGCAGCCGCGGUAAUAC